CCCUUAGAUGUUCUGGGCCGCACGCGCACUACACUGAUGCAUUCAACGAGUCUAAAACCUGGUCUGAUAGGGCUGGGUAAUCUUUUGAAAGUGCAUCGUGAUUGGGAUAGAUGAUUGCAAUUCUUCAUCUUCAACGAGGAAUGCCUAGUAAACGCAAGUCAUCAGCUUGCAUUGAUUACGUCCCUGCCCUUUGUACACACCGCCCGUCGCUCCUACCGAUUGAAUGAUCCGAUGAAUACCAUGGAUUGAGAGUACGAAUGGGUUCGCUCAUUUCUGCUGCUCGAGAAGUGGAGUAAAUCUUAUCAUUUAGAGGAAGGAGAAGUCGUAACA
rnacentral:rRNA from 1 species